rnacentral:lncRNA from 1 species
AAGAGUAAAGUACUUCCGCUUCCUUAGGUGGAGCUGGAAAGGUGGAGGCGGAAGUGACUGAUCAAUUCAGGGGCGUGGGGUUCGUUUAGGUUUUGCCCUGUGUAUGACCUCGUUUGGAGCCAUGAAACCAGGGCACUGAAGAUAUUAUUUAUAUUCAGAGGCUAUGUUGGUUUGGAGAAGGAAAGGUGGCUUUUCUACAAUAUAAAGAUGGAAAUGGGAAGAAGAUGUUCAUUGCAAAUUAAGGAAGCUCUUCCACGAGUUCACGAAUGGAAAUAACAUCAAGAGUUUUUCAUCUUCUUAGUGUGCAAGAUAAAUAUCAAGGAGUGCAAUUCCUGGAUUUAUGAUGUCUGAGGAAUAGUCUUAGUGGAUUAUCCCAAACUUGACACAUUUUUUGCAAAAUGCUAUACAAAAAGAAGAUACAUGCGAUUAUGACAAGAUUCUCCACUUGGUGUGACCAGUCUCAUACAACCCAAGGCUGUGUGUCCAAAGGCAACUGUACUGAUCUUGACAAUAAUCAAAAGGUAGCCAGGUGCAUCGGGGAAAGCACUGACAUUGGAGUCAGACAGACUGAAGUUCAUAUCUGAUUCUGCUAUAUGACAACGUGUGGGCUAUGUGGCUAACUUCUCAGAGCUUCAGUUUUCUCAAGGGCAAAAUGAAAAUAAUAGAAAUAAUAGAAUCCACCUCACAGGGCUGUGGUGAGAAUUGGAGAUGAAGCACAUACAGCAUAUUACAUCAACUAAACACAUGCUAAGCACAUGACAGAAUUGCUCUGUUGAAGUUUUGCAAGGUCAAAUGACUCACUUUGUCUAAUGGAACGGGAACGAACAAUUUUUUUGUGUCACGUUUGAACAGAUACCUUUGAGAAGUUUAUGAUUCUCCAAGUUCUCUUUCUCCUACUGUGGCACCUACUGACAAGAUAAAUGUGUAGAGGUUCCUGAGUCUAGGGGCACUGGAACCAGCUGACUGAUCUAUGGAAGUUCCCUUGGUCUCCAUUUGUUUAGAAAAGGGACUGGUCAAAGGCUGACGUUUGCUUUUGGUGACAUUGCAUUAAUUGUCUCCCAUGAGACUGCUAGGGUGCUGAAGGGAUGAAGAAACUGAGGCCCACAGAAGGUGGGUGAUACCUGCAAAAUCACAAGCUUUCAUGGUGAAAGAAGAGGGCAAAACUCAACCCGUCUCUUUAGACUUGGGAAGAAUAUGAAAGGACCAGGAGGGACACCUUUCCUAAUAACCUAGCUGAUGGUUCACUUAUUAGGCUGGAAAGCUGAAAAAUGACAUUCCCAGACUCCAUUGAAAUUAGAUUUCCAGAGAGUUGUCUCACUAAGCCCAAAUUUGUCUAACUGGCCUUAUUUCCCUGGAGUAUAUCCUGGAAGUUUCCAUUCAAGCCAAUUUAAGUUACUUUAAAUUAGGAAAGGCAGAAAACAAAAGCCCAAACCUUUGUAAAGGAGGAGGAUUUGCUACAUUGUUCUCAAUUCAUCACAGAAGAGGAUGAAACUGAGUGAUUACACUUGCUGGAGAGAAAAAAAGUCCUUCCCCCGCUCACCCCAAAUAAAGCAUUAACUUUAUGUUAAUCCAUGAA